rnacentral:lncRNA from 1 species
GCAGCAGAAGCAGAAAGCCCCAACAGCCAGACACAAAGGGCUUGUGAUGCUCAUGUCGGAAGACUUGGCUCUUUACCUGAAGGAACAGUGGAGUGACCCAGCGUCCCGGGUGCCUUGACUGACUGGAUUUCGUUUGGGGCUUUUGUGAGUAAUUAUUGUUUCUCAGUGAAUGCUUUGGUUGGGUCAGUUUGGUUUGUGGCUUGCCUUUGUUGUUUGGUCGAUUUAUUUUAACUGCUAGCAAAAGGAGCCCUUGGCUUGGAGGCAGGGGUCCUCGCGCUGCCCAGGCACAGCGCUGGUGGGGAACGCGUGGCUGCGGCUGUUGGACUGUCACCGCUCCGGACGCUUGGAGGUCUUCGCUGCUAGAGAGUCUGUAUGUCACCACAGGCUGCUGAGCUCCUGUCUGUCUAUUUGCCUGUCUGUCAGUCUGUCUGCUUCAGGAAAGGGGUUGGGGGUGGUGUCCAGGCUUUGCUCUGCUCCUCUCUCUUGGGAGUAGCCACCUUCUCCUGCAGCCAGUCCUUGCGCUGAUCUGUCCGCCCCUCUGCGACCUGUGGUCCCACCAGCAAUGCGGGAACCAGGUGACUGUCGUUGGAGCCCGCAGCGUCUCUGCUACUUUGCUACUUUGCGCUCCGGCCACUUCCCCAGGUCGGGUGGGAGGAGGUGACUGCAGGGAGCGAGUGCACGGGGCUGGCUGUCCCUGUCCCUCCCUCUCCGUCUCCCUGCCCGCUGAGUGCUCCCUCUUCUCUCUCUCUCUCUCUCCUCUCUCUCCUCUUCUCUCCUCUCCUCUCUCUCUCUCCGCUCUCUUCUCUCCUUUCUCUCUUCUCUCUCUCUCUCUCUCUCUCUCUCUCUCUCUCUCUCUCCCUCGCUCGCAGGAUUUCGAUCUCUCUGGCUGAGUAGGUCCACCUGAGGGUCACUCUCGCAGUCCCGCCGGAGUCAGCCAGCCUCAGUGGUGCUCCCGACCGCCCCACCCGGCCAUGCCCUCCCACAGGGCUGGCUAGGCUCCCAGGCAGCGCCCAGCUCCUCCCCGCCAGCCAAAGACGCGUCCAGCCGGGCGGGCACCAAGAGCACCGAAAGCAUUGCACAUGCCCGCCCCCCUCCCCCCAAUAGUUCCUGCCCCAAGACCCGUGCUGGCGACCCCUCUGCGGAGGGAGAUGGCCCUGAGGGGACGCUCAGUGAUGCCCGGUCUCUGGGCCACCACGCAAAGCCGAGGCUUGAGCGCAGCCGGCACCUGCUCUGUGCGCCAGGCGCUGCCAUACCCACUGCUCUCACCACCCCUGGGCUGGAGACAAAGCGCAUGAGCCACGCGCGCGGCAGCGCGAGCAUCAUUAAUCAGAGGAAACUGGCGCGCUGCCCCGGCCCCGCCACCCUGCCUCUCCCUCCCAGCCACCAGGCGCGCCCCGGAGCCCAGCCCUUACCUACCUCGCUGGGGUACCACCUCGAGUCCUAGGGAUGUUUGGCCAGAGCUUCUGGGUUUCUGGUACUCCGUGCUUACUCUCCGAGGCCAAGUGCAGAAAACAGCCCGGGGCAGCAACACCUCACCCCACCCAAGAAAUGAUUCUCAGCUUUGAGCUCUCAGAUGCCCAGGCUUUAGAGCUGAGAGAGACUACAAGUCCUGCUGCUCAGCGAGACUGGUCCUCUGGAUGCAAGACCGCCCAGAUCAGUGCUGCCUGCCCCACUGGGCGCUGAUGCGCUGACUGAGAGAAACCUUGCACUGCAGAGCCCAGAGGGGUAGGGCUGGGGCAGGGAGCAGAGUUGACACCUGAAGAAAUAAAAGCUCUGAUUUACCCAUUUGUUUUGGA